CUAAACUAAUCCCUCUUACAAUUUUAGUUUCCAUCUUUGUUUUGCUCCAAAAUGAUCGAAGAUCAUUGCAUUUAGUACUUCUCUUGACAGGAAAACAGUUUCCAAGUUGAGUUAUCUAUGGAUCUCUGGUUAAUCAGUCACGGGUAUUGGUAUUAUUAUCCGGAUUCUUCUUUCCAGUGCAACACAAAAUCCAAGGUCUCAUAAAUCUGUCCUUAGCAAGAAAUAAACUAAACAAAACUAUUACAAAACAUGUACACUGUUGGGUGAGGAAUACAAUACCGUUCAGCGACUUUAAUAGCAGGUAUAUUACCACAUAACCAAUGGCAGCUGGUGCUCAGACCCUCUUCUAAUGCAGAUCCGGAUAAAAUGUUUGCAAAUACCAUCUACUUGAAAUCUUAAUGGAUAUUUUUGCAAAUAUGAUCAUUUUUUGCUGCGAAAUAUUCUCAUAUGCAAAUAUAAAACCGCAUUGCUCCUUCAGGUUUGCCUUAAACUGCUACAAAAAUGUCAAGAAAUCAUGAAAAGCUCAGAGUUGAGUCUUCAGAUGCUCUUACAUUGUAUUUGCGCCUUUUGAAAAUUAUAUAUGUAGUUUUCCACAGUAUAUAUAUAUAUAUAUUCUGAAAUCCCAGUUUCAAUACCAA